rnacentral:lncRNA from 1 species
AACUCUGCAAUCAGUUGUUAGAAUCAAAUCGGUCUUCAAAUCGUUCAUUUGAAAAAAUUGAACGCCUUAUAUUGGAUGACCACGUAAUCUUUUAAAAAGUGUUCUGAGUGAGUUAUUUCAGUUCCACGAUUUCUUUUCUUUGAUCAAAAUUCAAUCAAGUAGAGUAUUAAGUUCAAUUAUUUUAUUUUUUUUGGCAAGGAAAUUUACUUUGCUCUUCUGGUCAAAUAACAACGCUCAAGUACUGUUAUACUCAUAGGAAAAAUCCUGUUGUUUUAAUAAUUCUUAGUGAAGUUUCCUUAUGAAAUGUUUAUGCUCUCAAGAAGGCCAAGGUGAGUUCAGGUUAUGUGAUGGGCAUGUUCUAAUAGAGUACUUUACAUGGACUUGCAUUUGACUCCACUGAAUGAGUGAACCUGUAUUAUCUUAUAUUAAGUUAGAUGCAAGAUGUUGUAGUUCUUAAUGACUAUUCUUUACAUUCUAUUGUCCAUCAUGGGGUGACAUGCCGUUAGUUUAUUGUUUUUCAUUCUAAAUAUGUCCUUGU